UGGUGGAGUGAUUUGUCUGGUUAAUUCCGUUAACGAGCGAGACCUCGACCUGCUAAAUAGCUCGGCGAAGCCUAGCUUCGUUUUCCGAGACUUCUUAGAGGGACUAUCGCUGUGUAGGCGAUGGAAGUUCGAGGCAAUAACA
rnacentral:rRNA from 1 species